rnacentral:rRNA from 1 species
CCGGUGGCUUUUUUUGCCUUCAUUAACGGCGAGUGAUGCUGGCAAAAGCUCAAAUUUGAAACCCUCGGGAUUGUAAUUUGAAGAUUUGGCAUUGGAGAAAGCUAACCCAAGUUGCUUGGAAUAGUACGUCAUAGAGGGUGACAACCCCGUCUGGCUAACCGUUCUCCAUGUAUUGCCUUAUCAAAGAGUCGAGUUGUUUGGGAAUGCAGCUCAAAGUGGGUGGUAAACUCCAUCUAAAGCUAAAUACUGGUGAGAGACCGAUAGCGAACAAGUACUGUGAAGGAAAGGUGAAAAGAACUUUGAAAAGAGAGUGAAAUAGUAUGUGAAAUUGUUGAUAGGGAAGGAAAUGAGUGGAGAGUGGCCGAGGUUUCAGCCGCCCCUCGUGGGCGGUGUACUGCCGACGCCGAGUCAUCGAUAGCGAGACGAGGGUUACAAAUGGGAGCGCCUUCGGGCGUUCUCCCCUAACCCUCCACACUGCCACCGACGACAUAAUCCACCCAUUUCACCCGUCUUGAAACACGGACCAAA